rnacentral:SRP_RNA from 1 species
GCCAGGUGUGAUGGCUCACGCCUGUAAUCCCAGCACUUUGGGAGGCUGAGGUGGGCGGAUCACCUGAGGUCAGGAGUUCAAUAUCAGCUUGACCAACAUGGUGAAACCCCGUCUCUA